AGGAUGAACGCUGGCGGCGUGCUUAACACAUGCAAGUCGAACGGUUCUAGCAAUAGAACAGUGGCGCACGGGUGAGUAACACGUAGCUAACCUGCCCUCGAGCGCGGGAUAACGUUCCGAAAGGAAUGCUAAUACCGCAUAAGCUCACGCUCUGUAGAGGGGUGUGAGAAAAGGCUUAGGUCACUUGAGGAGGGGCGUGCGACCCAGUCAGCUAGUUGCGAGGUAACGCUCACCAAGGCGACGACGGGUAGGGGGCCUGAGAGGGUGCCCCCGA
rnacentral:rRNA from 1 species